rnacentral:lncRNA from 1 species
AGUGCUGUCGCCGUCGCCGCCGCUGGAGCUGAAGCCGCCCCUGCGUCUCCUCAUUGCAGGUCCUUCUAGUUGAGGCAUGUGGGACGCCGCCUCACCGUGGCCUGACGAUCAGCGUCAUGUCGGCGCCCAGGAUCCGAACCCGUGACGCCCUUGGCCACUGCAUUGGAGCGCUGGAACUCAACCACUCGGCCCGGGCGGCCCCUGAUGCAUUCUUAACUUGAGGAAAAUCAGUUUAGCUCGGAAUCUUCAGGUUGUGCCAUUGAAGCCGGGUGCCUGAGGGGUACUGCAGAUAGUAAAGCAAUUUGCUGUUUUUUCCUGUUAACUUGAGGGGUGACUCGGUGUCUUGAGGAUUUGUGAGCUCCUUUUGCGGAAGAAAGAGAACGCCCUCAGGGAGGUUCAUCCCGCUGGCCGGCCCUCAGCAGCCUUGCCCCGGGAGUCAGCUUUCCCAGGGGCUUAUGGGAAGUGACCCCUGUGUUUGCCGGAAGCUCCUCCCGCCAAGCCCCUAGCUCCAUAAAACCCCGCUGCCUUCUGGUCUCCCGGAGGCGGCUUUGAGGGAACCCAGGCUCCCAACUACCCGUUUGGGCCAAUGGGAACAAAUCUUUCUCCGCCUUCAAGCCCUGAUGUCUCAGGCUUUGGCUUACUGUGCGUGGGGCGCGUGAACUUGAGAUUAAGAGGUCGGCUAUCACCAUGAAUAUAUUGGAUUCCUUAGAUGGAGUUGGAGUUUAUGUGAUCGAAGUGCUUUAUGAGUGCCUUUUGCUUAGUUCUUUGAAAAAAAAAAAUGUGUCGUGAACUGUUUCUCGGUUUGCUUUUUCUUAAACUGGGUUACUCAGAUGUCUCAAGUUACAAACAAGAGCUCCCCUGCUGCUUUGUUUUUUCUUUUCAUAAAAACUUGUGUGGUUCCAAAUUAAUUUUAGUUGUUUGCAAAAUUCUAAGUAAUAGCAUUUGUUAAAUUUAGACAUUUAAUGUAAGUGUUAAAUAUAGGAAGUAAAUUUAUAUAGACUGAUAGGCUAGAUAAAGUUUAAGAUGUGAAAGAUCUCAAUUUCUUUUAUUAAAGAUAGGAAGGGAUAUGACUUUAUUCAAGUAGUUGAUCCAUUUCAUUAUAUCUGCAACUGGUAUGAAGCAAAAAGAAAAACUGAUAUGUAGCUUAACUUACUGUAGGGGGUCAGAUCUGAACUAGUAAGUUCCCUUUAUUCUCAGAGGCAUAAAAGGGUAAGAUUUUAUUCAAGUUGUUGAUCGCCUUUAUUAUAUCUACAACUGGUAUGACGUGUGAAAGUUGUGAAUUUAGUAAUUUUCCUUAAUUCUUAGAGAUAGAAAAGUA